rfam:Rattus norvegicus E1 small nucleolar RNA gene, partial sequence.
UCUCCCCGGGCUCUGUCCUAGUGGCGUACGGGAGCAUAGGGCACUGCCCAAUGAUGUACAGUCCCUUUCCACAACGUUGGAGAUGAAGCUGGGCUUCGAGUCUGCGCCUGCAUAU